CGCCAGACCUAGCCACGGCCACGCACUCACGCACGCACCUCUAGGUCCAGUGCGGCGAGGCAUCCGCCGCCGGCCACCGGCUGCUAGUGACUCCCUCCACUCCGGUGUUCGCCUGCUAGCCUGCUCCGCUGCUCGCCCACGCCCUUCACCGCUCGUCCGCCUGGCCUGCUUCGCUGCUCGCCCCGUCGUCCGUCUCCUGCUCAUCCGUGCGACCCGUCCCCUGCUCGCCUGCUUCCCUACUCUGCCGCUUGUGCAACCCAACUCGCCGCCUCACCCGCUGCCCCGCUCAGCUGGCUGGCUCCUGCUCUCUGGCCUCCGCCACACCCAGGACAGGAUUGAAAUAAAAGAUGAAGAGAUAUUUUUCAUCCGUGGCCGCAACAGAAGUGUCUAUGGCGUGCAGUAUUGAGCGAGAAAUAUUUGCAAAUGUUGAUGAUGAUGCUAUUUUAUAUCGCUUUCAAUCUUAUACAUCUCGCAAAGGAAUUCUACCUCCUCAUAGUAGUGUUGGCUGUACUUCCACCAUUGAUCAAGUUAUGGAAGACACUGAUGAAGCAAGCCAUUGAUUUGGUAUUCUUUUUACUGCACAUGUCCAUAGUUUUUAUCAUUUUUUAUCUAUUUUGUU